UUCUAGGGUGUUGAAAUGCUGUCUCAGC
rnacentral:piRNA from 1 species